GCCACUUCAGCGGUGAACCGAUGGAAAUGGCCCGUCGGACCAUUCUCAUCGGUUUGGAACGACCGUGUGUACGCGGGAGUGACAUUUACGGGCAGGUUAUAUAAUUUAGCAUAAAAUUGUUUAAAUUGAUUAGCAAUUUCAGAAGAUGUAUACAAUUUGUUUCUAUUAGGAUCCGUAAUAGAGUAGAUAUUAGUAUUAUUAUUGUGAUUGUUCGCUUGAAGAGUCCUAGCAAGAAGUCUACCAGACUUAUUGCCAAACUCGUAAAACAGCUUUUGAGAUAGGGCAAAGUUGCGUUUUAUUUUCUCAUCUAAAAUUUUUAAAAGAUUUUCCCUAGCUUCCUGUAAUUCAGAUAAAGUGUCUAAAGCCAACGAUUGUUUUUGCUUGUUUUCCAGAAGAAGGAUUAGUUGAAUAAGGGAUCAUCCUACAGCAGACGAGCGAAGCAGCAAAUCUACAGCUCGAUCAUCCUACUCCUUUUUGCAGCAGACAAGAGCGAAGCAGCAUAUCUACAGCUCCAUUUUCUCAUAAUAGACGCCAUGAUCUAACCUCCUGAAGAAGCUCCCUUGAGCAAAACACGUAGAGAAAAUUUGAUGACCUGCAUGGACUUUGCAGAAGCUGUGGAGAAAGAGAGGACAUCCAAGGAAGUACAUCGACAGUCAAAUGGAUUGCAUGCGAAAAGUGUGAACUUUGGUUUCACGUAAACUGCAUUACAGAAGAAUUGAAAGAAG